AUGAGCGUUUACUUCAUCACCAUGGACCACUGUGCCAGGACACAGCUGUCCAUUGCCUCGCACUGCCAGCGGCUCACUCAGUAUAGACUGCGCAAGUGCAGCAGCAGUGUGGCCUGCUCAAGGUAUGCUGUCACUGAGACGUGUUUGGCCUUCACUGUUUUUUCGGGAUGACUUCAGCUCUCGCUUUGUGGCACUCUGUACACUGCUUCUCUUCCUCAGAUGUUUUCCAUUGGUUGGCUGAAGACCAUGUGGACUUUACAGAACGCAGCCCCAACAUCUCCUGGCUCUUCCACUGCCGAGUCGUCUCUCUCCUGGGUAUCCUGGACUUCCUCUUCGUCAGCCAAGCCUACCAUAGCAUCCUGACCCGUGAGGCCUCUACGCAUCUUCAUCAAGUACGUGCUGCACUCCGUGGACCUCCAGAGCUGUGUAGGUGCUCUACAUGGAGCUGUUUACAGGCUUUAUCAAGAUCCUGUUGUACAUGGCUUUCAUGACCAUCAUGAUUAAGGUGCACACACUUCCGCUCUUCGCCAUUAGGCCCGUGUACCUGGCCUUGAGGCAGUUCAAGAAAGCUGUAACAGAUGCCAUCAUGUCUCGCCGAGCCAUCUGCAACAUGAACACACUGUAUCCAGAUGCCACCCCCGAGGAGAUCCAGGCAACGGACAAUGUCUGUAUCAUGUGCAGAGAAGAGAUGGUGACGGGUGCUAAGAGAUUGCCUUGCAACUAACUACAUCUUUCACACGAGCUGCCUGCGCUCCUGGUUCCAGAGACAGCAGACUGUCCGACGUGCCGUAUGGAUGUUUUGCGGGCAUCCUUGCCAGCCCAGUCAUCACCACCCCCUGAGCCUGCUGACCAAGAACCACCUCCUGCCCCUCAUCCCCCACCACUGCUGCCACAGCCCCCUAAUUUCCCCCAGGGCCUCCUGCCUCCUUUUCCUCCAGGCAUGUUUCCACUGUGGUCCCCAAUGGGUCCCUUUCCACCUGUCCCACCUCCCCCAAGCUCAGGAGAGGCUGCAGCCCCUCCAUUCACCAGUGCAGCCGUUUCUCUGCCCAGUGGAGCAGCCACCACCACAACUGCUGGCACCAAUACUUCUGCCCCAGCACCUGGCUCUGUUCCUGGCCCAGAGGCUGGUCCUGCCCCUGGCUUCCCUUUCUCUCCUCCUUGGAUGGGUAUGCCUCUGCCUCCACCUUUUGCCUUCCCCCCAAUGCCCUCCUCCCUGAGGAGCUGCGUGCCCUAGAGGGCCAUGAGCGGCAGCACCUGGAGGCUGGGCUACAGAGUCUGCGCAAUAUACACACAGUACUGGAUGCUACCACGCUGCCAAUCAACCAGUACCUCACUGUGCUGGCCUCCCUGGGGCCCCCCAGACCAGCUACUUCAGUGAACUCCACUGAAAAGAGCCUCUACAGUGGUAUCUGCUGCCCCUUCCACCAGCGCCCCCAGCUCUGAGGCUCCUACCCCAUCUUCGGGAGCUUCCCCACCAAUUUCUGAAGCUGAAAAGCCUCCUGCUCCUGAGUCAGUGGGCAUUGCAGAGGAGCUGCCUGAGGGUGGAGAGCCUGAUGCUGCAGGACUCCGCUGGUGUCGCCUGCAGAAGUUGGAGUCCCCUGUGGCCCACUGGCACUGCCCAGACCUGGCCCUGUUCUCUUGAGUGGCCCUCACUGG